UUAACCGAAUAGGGGAGCCGGAGGGAAACCGAGUCUUAAUUGGGCGUUAAGUUGCAGGGUAUAGACCCGAAACCCGGUGAUCUAGCCAUGGGCAGGUUGAAGGUUGGGUAACACUAACUGGAGGACCGAACCGACUAAUGUUGAAAAAUUAGCGGAUGACCUGUGGCUGGGGGUGAAAGGCCAAUCAAACCGGGAGAUAGCUGGUUCUCCCCGAAAGCUAUUUAGGUAGCGCCUCGUGAAUUCAUCUCCGGGGGUAGAGCACUGUUUCGGCUAGGGGGCCAUCCCGGCUUACCAACCCGAUGCAAACUGCGAAUACCGGAGAAUGUUAUCACGGGAGACACACGGCGGGUGCUAACGUCCGUCGUGAAGAGGGAAACAACCCAGACCGCCAGCUAAGGUCCCAAAGUCAUGGUUAAGUGGGAAACGAUGUGGGAAGGCCCAGACAGCCAGGAUGUUGGCUUAGAAGCAGCCAUCAUUUAAAGAAAGCGUAAUAGCUCACUGGUCGAGUCGGCCUGCGCGGAAGAUGUAACGGGGCUAAACCAUGCACCGAAGCUGCGGCAGCGACGCUGAUGCGUUGUUGGGUAGGGGAGCGUUCUGUAAGCCUGUGAAGGUGGCCUGUGAGGGUUGCUGGAGGUAUCAGAAGUGCGAAUGCUGACAUAAGUAACGAUAAAGCGGGUGAAAAGCCCGCUCGCCGGAAGACCAAGGGUUCCUGUCCAACGUUAAUCGGGGCAGGGUGAGUCGACCCCUAAGGCGAGGCCGAAAGGCGUAGUCGAUGGGAAACGGGUUAAUAUUCCCGUACUUGGUGUUACUGCGAAGGGGGGACGGAGAAGGCUAUGUUGGCCGGGCGACGGUUGUCCCGGUUUAAGCGUGUAGGCUGGUUUUCCAGGCAAAUCCGGAAAAUCAAGGCUGAGGCGUGAUGACGAGGC
rnacentral:rRNA from 1 species